CAAUAGCGUAUAUUAAAGUUGUUGCGGUUAAAAAGCUCGUAGUUGGAUUUCUGUUGGGAACGACCGGUCCGCCCAUUGGGUGUGUAUCUGGCUUGUUCUCGGCAUCUUCUUGGUGAACGUUGCUGCACUUGACUGUGUGGAGCGCUACCCAGGACUUUUACUUUGAGGAAAUUAGAGUGUUUCAAGCAGGCAUAUGCCUUGAAUACAUUAGCAUGGAAUAAUAAGAUAGGACCUCGGUUCUAUUUUGUUGGUUUCUAGAGCUGAGGUAAUGAUUAAUAGGGAUAGUUGGGGGCAUUCGUAUUUAACUGUCAGAAGUGAAAUUCUUGGAUUUGUUAAAGACGGACUACUGCGAAAGCAUUUGCCAAGGAUGUUUNCAUUG
rnacentral:rRNA from 1 species